rnacentral:lncRNA from 1 species
GAAAAUUGUUUCUUGGGAAUUAGUUUAAUCAAAUGUUUUGUGAGUCUUGCAAAUUGGAAAGAAUAAUAUAAAAUUAGAUAUAUUGGUAAACUAGGUUAAUCACAGUCAUUCAUUUGUAGCAGAGAAUACAUAUCUAUCAAUUGAUGUUUUUUGAAGUCGGGAGAAACAUUCCAUCAAGCUAAUGUGUUUAAGGGUAUCAUAUCAGGCACAGACAGGUACUAGAAGUGAUAAAAAACAGAUAACCUGCAAUAAAAUGAUUUACAGAUGGGUCAUUAUCUUCUAUAGAGAGGUUACAAAGAUCAUAUUCUUUAUAAAAACAGAAUGCAAUUCUACAGAGCUAGGAGAAUUAUCUAAAUGCAUCUGAAUAUAUAAUGUUUUCUGAGUGACUGGUAGAAUUUAUCAAAGCAAAAUUUGUUAGCCUUCUUAUCAGCAGCAUAUUAUUUUAAGAUAUAGAAAAUUACUGUCCUGUAUUUUAAAUAUUCUUUAUUUUACCCACUUGAUAAAGUAAAGCUUGGGAAACAUUUUGCCUCUUAUAGUGUGAUCCUUUUAGUGCAUACAUUUAAAAUAUGCAUAAAAAUGUUAUCCACAAAUUAAAAAAAGGUGUAAAGUUUGAUGUUAGGGAGCUAUUAGUUUUCAUGACCUGUUUCAUACGGCGUGUGCCUGAAAUGCAUCUUUUCUAUCAGUGGUAAGACAGGAUGUCAUUUAUAUAUUUUCUCUUUCUUCUUCAGCUUGACAGAAAGGUAUACAGUCAAUUGUUUCUCCGGUCUCUCAUAGACUGACAUAAGGCAACAGGAAACUCUAAACCCUCAGAGUCACUCUGGUCUACUGAGACAGAUUAACUUUCUACAGAACCUUUCAUGUCACCAGUCCACUGCUGAGGGACUCACAUAGGCCACUACAGUAAGAACAUACUUUAUUUAACUUUAGUUCAAGUAAGUAUAGAUGUGCUCAUGUCAAAUUUUUAUGUACAUAAACAGACAUGUUUCAAUUUAUUUUUAGUAAACUCAUGUUCUGUUAUAGAUGCCUGUUCUCAUAACUUGCCCAGAAGCUCAAACAUGAAUUCUAGGAAAACCCUUUCGCACUUUGACAGAGUUGGGUGUUUUGAAUUCAACCAUGGAAGUAUCAUUUUGACUAAUGUUGGUCACACUCAGGCCUCAGACCUCUCAUGGUGAAUAGCAGAGCUGUGUUGCUGGGUAGAAAAUUCUCAUUUGCCAGAGGUCAGUGAUGUCCAUGGGCUGCCUCUUCUCCAGUGCUGGAGCUAUAGCAAAUAUAAUCAAAUGUGUGAAGAGCAGUUUGACUCUUAUCACAAUUGUUGUAUUAAAAUAAAUAUCAAUGAUGAAUUGGAUAAUUGGCA